rnacentral:rRNA from 1 species
GAUGAACGCUGGCGGCGUGCCUAAUACAUGCAAGUCGAGCGAACGGACGAGAAGCUUGCUUCUCUGAUGUUAGCGGCGGACGGGUGAGUAACACGUGGAUAACCUACCUAUAAGACUGGGAUAACUUCGGGAAACCGGAGCUAAUACCGGAUAAUAUUUUGAACCGCAUGGUUCAAAAGUGAAAGACGGUCUUGCUGUCACUUAUAGAUGGAUCCGCGCUGCAUUAGCUAGUUGGUAAGGUAACGGCCUACCAAGGCAACGAUGCAUAGCCGACCUGAGAGGGGGAUCGGCCACACUGGAACUGAGCCACGGUCCAGACUCCUACGGGAGGCAGCAGUAGGGAAUCUUACGCAAUGGGCGAAAGCCUGACGGAGCAACGCCGCGCGAGUGAUGACGGUCUUCGGAUCGUGAAACUCUGUUAUUAGGGAAGAACAUAUGUGUAAGUAACUGUGCACAUAUUGACGGUACCUAAUAAGAAAGCCACGGCUAACUACGUG